CGCAGCUUACCAUGCAGUCGAACGGUAGCAGGAAGAAAGCUUGCUUUCUUUGCUGACGAGUGGCGGACGGGUGAGUAAUGCUUGGGAAUCUGGCUUAUGGAGGGGGAUAACUGUGGGAAACUGCAGCUAAUACCGCGUAUUCUCUGAGGAGGAAAGGGUGGGACCUUAGGGCCACCUGCCAUAAGAUGAGCCCAAGUGGGAUUAGGUAGUUGGUGGGGUAAAGGCCUACCAAGCCUGCGAUCUCUAGCUGGUCUGAGAGGAUGACCAGCCACACUGGAACUGAGACACGGUCCAGACUCCUACGGGAGGCAGCAGUGGGGAAUAUUGCGCAAUGGGGGGAACCCUGACGCAGCCAUGCCGCGUGAAUGAAGAAGGCCUUCGGGUUGUAAAGUUCUUUCGGUAAUGAGGAAGGGAUGUUGUUAAAUAGAUAGCAUCAUUGACGUUAAUUACAGAAGAAGCACCGGCUAACUCCGUGCCAGCAGCCGCGGUAAUACGGAGGGUGCGAGCGUUAAUCGGAAUAACUGGGCGUAAAGGGCACGCAGGCGGACUUUUAAGUGAGAUGUGAAAUCCCCGAGCUUAACUUGGGAACUGCAUUUCAGACUGGGAGUCUAGAGUACUUUAGGGAGGGGUAGAAUUCCACGUGUAGCGGUGAAAUGCGUAGAGAUGUGGAGGAAUACCGAAGGCGAAGGCAGCCCCUUGGGAAUGUACUGACGCUCAUAUGCGAAAGCGUGGGGAGCAAACAGGAUUAGAUACCCUGGUAGUCCACGCUGUAAACGCUGUCGAUUUGGGGAUUGGGCUAUAUGCUUGGUGCCCGAAGCUAACGUGAUAAAUCGACCGCCUGGGGAGUACGGGCCGCAAGGUUAAAACUCAAAUGAAUUGACGGGGGCCCGCACAAGCGGUGGAGCAUGUGGUUUA
rnacentral:rRNA from 1 species